rnacentral:rRNA from 1 species
UGCGUAGGCGGUGCAGUAGGUUGGGUGUGAAAUCCCUCGGCUCAACCGAGGAACUGCGCCCAAAACUGCUGUGCUUGAGGGAGACAGAGGUGAGCGGAACUUCGGGUGGAGCGGUGAAAUGCGUUGAUAUCCGAAGGAACACCUGUGGCGAAAGCGGCUCACUGGGUCUCUUCUGACGCUGAGGCACGAAAGCUAGGGGAGCGAACG